rnacentral:rRNA from 1 species
CAGCAGCCGCGGGAAUACGUAGGGUGCGAGCGUUAAUCGGAAUUACUGGGCGUAAAGCGUGCGCAGGCGGUUCGUUAAGACAGAUGUGAAAUCCCCGGGCUUAACCUGGGAACUGCAUUUGUGACUGGCGAGCUAGAGUAUGGCAGAGGGGGGUAGAAUUCCACGUGAAGCAGUGAAAUGCGUAGAGAUGUGAAGAACACCUGUGGCGAAAGCGGCUCACUGGACAAUAACUGACGCUGAUGCACGAAAGCUAAGGGAGCAAACAGGAUUAGAUACCCGUGUAGUCCCUGUCUCUUAUACA